rnacentral:snRNA from 1 species
AAGCAUUUGCUCUUUUAAUAUUUCUCCAGUAGGUUUCGUGAAGGAGAAAGCCUCC